rnacentral:rRNA from 1 species
UGAAAUCCCAGAGCUUAACUCUGGAACUGCCAUUAAAACUUUUCAGCUAGAGUAUGAUAGAGGAAAGCAGAAUUUCUAGUGUAGAGGUGAAAUUCGUAGAUAUUAGAAAGAAUACCAAUUGCGAAGGCAGCUUUCUGGAUCAUUACUGACACUGAGGAACGAAAGCAUGGGUAGCGAAGAGGAUUAGAUACCCUCGUAGUCCAUGCCGUAAACGAUGUGUGUUAGACGUUGGAAAUUUAUUUUCAGUGUCGCAGGGAAACCGAUAAACACACCGCCUGGGGAGUACGACCGCAAGGUUAAAACUCAAAUGAAUUGACGGGGACCCGCACAAGUAGUGGAGCAUGUGGUUUAAUUCGAAGAUACGCGCAGAACCUUACCAACACUUGACAUGUUCGUCGCGACUCUAAGAGAUUAGAGUUUUCGGUUCGGCCGGACGAAACACAGGUGCUGCAUGGCUGUCGUCAGCUCGUGUCGUGAGAUGUUGGGUUAAGUCCCGCAACGAGCGCAACCCUCACUUUUAGUUGCCAUCAUUAAGUUGGGCACUCUGAAAGAACUGCCAGUGAUAAGCUGGAGGAAGGUGGGGAUGACGUCAAGUCCUCAUGGCCCUUACGUGUUGGGCUACACACGUGCUACAAUGGUAUCUACAACAGGAAGCGAAACUGCGAGGUUAAGCAAAUCCCUAAAAGAUACCUCAGUUCGGAUUGCACUCUGCAACUCGAGUGCAUGAAGCUGGAAUUACUAGUAAUCGUGGAUCAGCGUGCCACGGUGAAUGCGUUCCCGGGUCUUGUACACACCGCCCGUCACACCAUGGGAGUUGGUUCUACCUUAAGGCAAGGUUUUAAACCCUUGACCACGGUAUAGUCAGCGACUGGGGUGAA